GGAGAGAUGGCAGAGUGGUCGAUUGCGGCAGUCUUGAAAACUGUUGAGGUGAAAGCCUCCCGGGGUUCGAAUCCCUGUCUCUCCG
rnacentral:tRNA from 1 species